rnacentral:rRNA from 1 species
UACGUAGGGUGCAAGCGUUAAUCGGAAUACUGGGCGUAAAGCGUGCGCAGGCGGUUUUGUAAGUCUGUCGUGAAAAUCCCCGGGCUCAACCUGGGAACUGCAUUUGUGACUGCAUGGCUGGAGUGCGGCAGAGGGGGGGAUGGAAUUCCGCGUGUAGCAGUGAAAUGCGUAGAUAUGCGGAGGAACACCGAUGGCGAAGGCAAUCCCCUGGGCCUGCACUGACGCUCAUGCACGAAGCGUGGGGAGCGAACGGGA